CCUACGGGCGGCAGCAGUGGGGAAUAUUGGGCAAUGGGCGCAAGCCUGACCCAGCAACGCCGCGUGAAGGAAGAAGGCUUUCGGGUUGUAAAGUUCUUUUCUCAGGGACGAAGCAAGUGACGGUACCUUACGAAUAAGCCACGGCUAACUACGUGCCAGCAGCCGCGGUAAUACGUAGGGGGCAAGCGUUAUCCGGAUUUACUGGGCGUAAAGGGAGCGUAGGCGGUGGGGCAAGUCAGAGGUGAAAGCCGCGGGCUCAACCUGUGGCCUGCACUCGAAACUGUUGUUCUUGAGUGCAGGAGAGGCAAGUGGAAUUCCGAGUGUAGCGGUGAAAUGCGUAGAUAUAAGGAGGAACACCAGUGGCGAAGGCGGGUUGCUGGACUGUAACUGACGCUGAGGCGCGAAAGCGUGGGGAGCAAACAGGAUUAGAUACCCGUGUAGUC
rnacentral:rRNA from 1 species